rnacentral:rRNA from 1 species
AAUGUACCGGGGCUAAACAUAUUACCGAAGCUGUGGAUUGUCCUUUGGACAAUGGUAGGAGAGCGUUCUAAGGGCGUUGAAGCAUGAUCGUAAGGACAUGUGGAGCGCUUAGAAGUGAGAAUGCCGGUGUGAGUAGCGAAAGACGGGUGAGAAUCCCGUCCACCGAUUGACUAAGGUUUCCAGAGGAAGGCUCGUCCGCUCUGGGUUAGUCGGGUCCUAAGCUGAGGCCGACAGGCGUAGGCGAUGGAUAACAGGUUGAUAUUCCUGUACCACCUAUAAUCGUUUUAAUCGAUGGGGGGACGCAGUAGGAUAGGCGAAGCGUGCGAUUGGAUUGCACGUCUAAGCAGUAAGGCUGAGUAUUAGGCAAAUCCGGUACUCAUUAAGGCUGAGCUGUGAUGGGGAGAAGACAUUGUGUCUUCGAGUCGUUGAUUUCACACUGCCGAGAAAAGCCUCUAGAUAGAAAAUAGGUGCCCGUACCGCAAACCGACACAGGUAGUCAAGAUGAGAAUUCUAAGGUGAGCGAGCGAACUCUCGUUAAGGAACUCGGCAAAAUGACCCCGUAACUUCGGGAGAAGGGGUGCUCUUUAGGGUUAACGCCCAGAAGAGCCGCAGUGAAUAGGCCCAAGCGACUGUUUAUCAAAAACACAGGUCUCUGCUAAACCGUAAGGUGAUGUAUAGGGGCUGACGCCUGCCCGGUGCUGGAAGGUUAAGAGGAGUGGUUAGCUUCUGCGAAGCUACGAAUCGAAGCCCCAGUAAACGGCGGCCGUAACUAUAACGGUCCUAAGGUAGCGAAAUUCCUUGUCGGGUAAGUUCCGACCCGCACGAAAGGCGUAACGAUUUGGGCACUGUCUCAACGAGAGACUCGGUGAAAUCAUAGUACCUGUGAAGAUGCAGGUUACCCGCGACAGGACGGAAAGACCCCGUGGAGCUUUACUGUAGCCUGAUAUUGAAAUUCGGCACAGCUUGUACAGGAUAGGUAGGAGCCUUUGAAACGUGAGCGCUAGCUUACGUGGAGGCGCUGGUGGGAUACUACCCUAGCUGUGUUGGCUUUCUAACCCGCACCACUUAUCGUGGUGGGAGACAGUGUCAGGCGGGCAGUUUGACUGGGGCGGUCGCCUCCUAAAAGGUAACGGAGGCGCUCAAAGGUUCCCUCAGAAUGGUUGGAAAUCAUUCAUAGAGUGUAAAGGCAUAAGGGAGCUUGACUGCGAGACCUACAAGUCGAGCAGGGUCGAAAGACGGACUUAGUGAUCCGGUGGUUCCGCAUGGAAGGGCCAUCGCUCAACGGAUAAAAGCUACCCCGGGGAUAACAGGCUUAUCUCCCCCAAGAGUUCACAUCGACGGGGAGGUUUGGCACCUCGAUGUCGGCUCAUCGCAUCCUGGGGCUGUAGUCGGUCCCAAGGGUUGGGCUGUUCGCCCAUUAAAGCGGUACGCGAGCUGGGUUCAGAACGUCGUGAGACAGUUCGGUCCCUAUCCGUCGUGGGCGUAGGAAAUUUGAGAGGAGCUGUCCUUAGUACGAGAGGACCGGGAUGGACAUACCUCUGGUGUACCAGUUGUCGUGCCAACGGCAUAGCUGGGUAGCUAUGUGUGGACGGGAUAAGUGCUGAAAGCAUCUAAGCAUGAAGCCCCCCUCAAGAUGAGAUUUCCCAACUUCGGUUAUAAGAUCCCUCAAAGAUGAUGAGGUUAAUAGGUUCGAGGUGGAAGCAUGGUGACAUGUGGAGCUGACGAAUACUAAUCGAUCGAAGACUUAAUCAA